UGAGCAGAAUGACUCACAUCUUACAGGGUGUGCAAAUUGAAAUUUCGAAACUCUCCAGAGUAGAGGUGGCAGUGCCAUAACUCGAUACGGGAGAAGUAUGCCAGCCAGAUGACAUUGCCAGCCAGCAUGCUGCCAAAGACUUCACAAAAUGUCUCUCUCAUGGGAAAGAAAAGCAUUUGGAUGGCUCUCUGCACGUGUUCAAGGCGCCAUUGCUGAAAAGAUACCAGGAAUUCUGGGUCUGCGAUGCUUACUCAAAGAAGAGGGCUGUAUUUUUAGGCAAUUAUAUUUGUCUGAAAGAUAAAGUCCUGCCAGCCGGGUGAACUAGCAGCAAAACUGAUUGUUAGCUGCAGAUCUCACUUCCCUUCAUUUGAUAGCUAGUUACCAAAGAUGGCCCUCAUCCCGCAAUGAACCGCACGUCCUGGUAUUCUGCACAAAAUAUGCCUUCGUGUAGUCCUUUCCUUUUGAAGUCAAAGGAAGCCUUGCAGCUUCCACUUGGGUCUCUUGGAACACUGGCUCUCGGGGGGGGGGGGGGGGGGACAGCUGCCAGGUAAGAAGUUUGACUACCCCGAGACUUCUAUGUUUCGAGGAAGUUCCAGCUGCCACCCGAAGAGGUUGUGUGGAGAGAGAUAUAUCUGGUAAGCCCCUCGCUAUUUCAGGCGUCCCAACUGAUAAGCCGGGCAUGUGACCAAAGGAGCCAUCUUGGACAUCCAGCCGAAUUGAGCCUUCAGAUGGCUCCAUCCAUCUGACUUCAAAGAUGGGGGAGGACCCAAAACCACCUAACUGAGCUCAGUCAACCUACAGGACCACAAGAGAUAAUAAUAAAUUUUUAAGCUAC